rnacentral:rRNA from 1 species
AACGGCAGCACAGAGGAGCUUGCUCCUUGGGUGGCGAGUGGCGGACGGGUGAGGAAUACAUCGGAAUCUACUCUGUCGUGGGGGAUAACGUAGGGAAACUUACGCUAAUACCGCAUACGACCUACGGGUGAAAGCAGGGGAUCUUCGGACCUUGCGCGAUUGAAUGAGCCGAUGUCGGAUUAGCUAGUUGGCGGGGUAAAGGCCCACCAAGGCGACGAUCCGUAGCUGGUCUGAGAGGAUGAUCAGCCACACUGGAACUGAGACACGGUCCAGACUCCUACGGGAGGCAGCAGUGGGGAAUAUUGGACAAUGGGCGCAAGCCUGAUCCAGCCAUACCGCGUGGGUGAAGAAGGCCUUCGGGUUGUAAAGCCCUUUUGUUGGGAAAGAAAUCCAGCCGGCUAAUACCUGGUUGGGAUGACGGUACCCAAAGAAUAAGCACCGGCUAACUUCGUGCCGGCAGCC